UGUUAUGAACAAAACAGCCUGGCUGGGACACUUGGCUUGGGCUAAAGGACCAGACUGGACUGGGCUGUGGGAAGCAGGAGCAAAGCACACACACACUUCCUGGUGCUGCCAGGAGGGAAGGAGAGGGACAGCUGCCGCUGGACUUCGGCAGCAGGCUCUGCACAUCCCCUCACCCUGCGGCCACCAGUGUGCCAGGAGGAAAGGAGAGAGGACGGUCUGCUGGGACUUCAGAUACGGACUGCACACCUCUUCACCUCCAGCUACCAGCGUGCCAUGGAGACUCCAGGGACAGACUCUGCACGCCUGCUCACCCUUCGGCUACGGGAGAAGCUAUAACAGCGGGGGUGAGCUCCUUGUUGAGCCCCCUGCCGAGCUGACUUUUAAUAAAGAGCUGACUAUUAAUAAAGGCAUAGACCCUGUUCAUUUCAAUUUCGGGGCUCGUCCGGGAUAGCCACGCCCGAAGAGGAACCCUGGACAGCUGGACAGCGCGACCAUCUGCUUCGAGGGACCCUCGGGAUUUGCUGGCUACCGGACCCUAGGAUCAGCGUGAGACGGGCCACGCGGAGGAGCAACGCGGAGAAGCAACGCGGAGGGAUGACGGAUUGGUGAGAAAAACUGGGAGGCGAGCGAGUGAGUGAAUGAGUGAGACGGGGGCCGGCAGCUCGGACCCCCGAAGUGAGAGGGACCCCUAGUACUGCGUUUUCGGACUCCUGCGAAGGGGUUGGCCGGGAACGGGGGGAAGCGAGUGGAACAGAGAGACUGAGGCCUCUCCUUAGAGGUAAAGGCCCUCCUCUGGGCAUGUGGAGAUUCUCUAGGGAUAAAGUAAGUCCCUGGUAAUCAGGGCAAGAGAGUUGUCCACAGCAGGGCAGGUGGGAUGUCCCUGGCAGGAAGGGGGCAUGUCCUGGCAGAUAGGGCAUAGGUCCUGGCAAGAAGAGGGCAUGUCCUGGCAGGCAGGGAGCAUGCCCUAACAGGCAGGGGGCAUGUCCUAGCAGGCAGGGGCAUGUCCUGGGAAGAAGAGGGCAUGUCCUGGCAGGCAGGCUGGGGGCAUGUCCUGGCAGGCAGCAGGCAUGUCCUGGGAGACAGAGGGCAUGUCCUGGGAGACAGAGGGCAUGUCCGUGGUAGGCAGAACAGGAUAAAUGGGCAUGUGAGAUGUCCCUAGAAGGCAGGGCAGGAUGUCCUUGCAGAGCAGGUAGAGGGCAUGUCCUGGCAGGCAGGGUUAUGUCCUGGCAAGCAGGAGGCAUGUCCUAGUAGGCAGAGGGCAUGCCCUAACAGGCAAGGGAGCAUGUCCUAGCAGGCAGGGGCAUGUCCUGGGAAGGAGAGGACAUAGGUCCUGGCAAGGGAGGGCAUGUCCUGGCAGGCAGGGGGCAUGUCCUGGGAGACAGGGGGCAUGUCCUAACAGGCAGGAGGCAGGUCCUGGCAGGUAGGGCAUGUCCUAACAAGAGGGGGGAAUGUCCUGGCAGGCAGGGGGCAGGUCCUGGAAGGCAGGGUACAUGUUCUGGCUAGCAGGGCCAGGUCCUGGCAGGCAGGGGGCAGGUCCUGACAGCAGGAUCAUGUCCUGGCAGGUAGGGCCAGGCCCUGGCAGACAGGGGGCAGGUCCUGGCAGGUAGGGCAGUUGAUAACAGGCAAAGGACAGGUCCUGGCAAGAAGGGGGCGUGUCCUGGCAGACAGGGGGAAUGUCCUGGCAGGCAGGGAGUAGGUCUUGGCAGGCAGGGUACAUGUUCUGGCAGACAGGAGGCAUGUCGGGGAAGACAGAGUAAGUAAGCAAGUAAGGAAGCGAGUAGAAAGGCAAGCAGGCUAAGCCUAGUAGGAGAGUCAGGCGAAGGGACUUGGCCGGAGUUCGAGUGUAAGGCUCAGCAGGAUGUUCGACCUUACCUCGGCAGGGAGACCAAGCUUCCUAAGCUUAGUAAGGAGGUUGGGCAAAAGGCCAAAUAAAGAACUGGGGCGAGACCUACCUAGGGUCCAAGCCUAGAAAGUCCAUCAAGAAGUCCAGAAAGAACAGGAAAAAAAAAGACAAUAUAUGUGAGUGUGAUUAGUGGCUAUCCUGGGCAAGAAACAGGAAUAAAUGCCAGGAGUGGAAGCUUAGCUAGAAAAAAAUGAAAUUCAGUCAAGAGAUUUAAAAUACUAAGGUUUGGGAAGGAGCCAGAUGAACUUUAGUUGCAUAUCAGAAUAUUCCAUUUUAGAGAGAGACAUAUUCUAAGGUAUAUAUUUUUUUUUUC
ensembl:lncRNA